ensembl:lncRNA
GGAAACAGGAAGUGGCCCCUUUUUCCCUUCACCUCCUCCAGCAGCACAAUGUGAUCCACCGGCAAGGAGGGACGUCAAUAAGGCGUCCGAUAAGAUAAGUCUUAUAAAAUAAUAGAGUUAUAAUAAAGACUGAGCUAACAGAUGAGGAAUCCUAAUCAUUGGUCAAGCAGUUUUGAACCUAAUACAAGUUUCUGUGUAUUCAUUUGGGCCCAACUCAGGCGGGCAGCUGGCAUAAAGCACACACGUGGCAAUGGGGCUCAGGCGGCUUUUGGCAGAAAAAUUUAUUGUAACAGAGCUCCAUUAGCUUUCAAAGCACACACACAUCUGUCUCUGGGUUUUACCUGAAAACUGCUACAAACAGAAAUAGCAAAGCUAUAUUUAAGGAACGAUGUUUAUUUUUACAUUUUACUGCCAUUUAGGAAAUGGUAAUGAAUCUACUUUUAAACACAAUGUGUAAUUUUAAACUAACAUGAUAUACAAACCAUAGAGAAAUUGAAAGAAUGUACUUUGAAAGAUCUGAAAUGUUAGAAUAUCAUUAUGGCAUGAGGACAAUGGUAAGGUAGGCAGUGGCUCAUCUGGGGACAUAUUCACAGGGUUUGUUCUAAUUAUUAAUGUAAAAGGAGCUUGGUCACUUAAUUCCAUAAAGUGUGGACAUAAGUGCCACAGGCCGUUUGUCUGUUCCUCCCUCAUGUCACUCCAGGAACAGUGAUGUUUUGUAUUUUCCAUCUUUCAUGUUCGUAGAAAGUCACAACUUUUGUUUUUAGCUAAAAUCCUAUGAAUUUUUUUUUGUUUUUCUUUCUCCACUAUUUGCACAGGUGUUUAUCAUAGAAACCCAGCACUGGUAACUUUUUUUCUCAGUGUAGAAGAGGAGUGGGAAAAGCUAAGCUCACAGGACAUUGGGGCUCAUAAGUAGGUCAACAUGGAAGAGGUAGAGAGUACAUAGUUACUGGGCCAAGGUUUCUAGGCAGUGUGUGAAAUACCCUUAAUCCAUGCCCCUCAUUCCAUAGAGACAGGAGGGCACAUCCUGCCACUGUCUAGGAAGGGAAGGCACUGAGCUGAAACUGCACUAGGCAGAGGGCGUCUGACCAAAAUAUCUGGGAAUAGACGAGCAGUGUCUCACUUGUGUCAUUUUUUUUCACCCCAAGGAAUUUUUUAUCUCUUCAUGCAAGUUUUAUCUUCUCAAAUAAACACAUCUAAAUUCAAACUGAGCAUUAGGCAAAAAUCAUAGUUAUCAUGUGUAUUGAUUUCUCUAUUGUUCAUUUUCCUAACAACUUAGGCUCUAAUUACUGUUGCACUUUCUUUUGCAACAACUAUUAUUUCCCCCUUUGUUUUCAUUCCAAAUAGUACCAUUCUGCUGCAUGUCCUUGUCCAGUUGGUGUACAGUAUCUGUACUUUCAGUGCGUCAUUCUCGGACUCACAAUCACUCAGAUAAGUGUUUAAUCCUCACCUCUUUCUCCAUUCAAAUUUUUGUUACAAAUCCCACUCCUUGGUCCCUUUAUUCCAGAUGCUCCAGUUGCAUGUUUUCUACAAAAUUCUGAACUCUAUUGUGCUCAGUUCUUUCAAGAGAGCCCUUAGACAUUCACUUCUAAGAGAGUUCUUAAAUUUGUAAACAAUAUGUCCCAGAAGAAGUCUAAGCAAAUUAUAAGAGGUGUCAUUAGCAAUUCAAGAUUUGAGAAGAAGAGCUUGCUGUAUCUUAUAAACAGAUGGAAAGACAAAAGCACAGCAAAAUGAUUUAGGUUAGCUGCAUAAAAACCCAAGGUCUGUGUGCUGUUGAGAAAAUACAUUGAGAAGCGCUAGAUUGGUGUGAGUGGUCUUUUCUUAACUGAAAAAGCAGACACGUCAUGUGAAAUGCUUCAAGACAUCUGUUGCAACUAACUGUGUUCUCUUAAAAAAGGAAAGCACUUAAACCAAAUGUUUGUAGGAUGCCUGGAACCAAUAAGUGUAGUUCCUGGUUCCUAUUCCCACAUGAAUGAAAACAGGUUCUCAGACACAUGGUUAUCUCAUAAUGCACGCUCAUUUCAGUCCCUGCACUGACACACACUUCACGGAAAGAAAUGUGAUAGAGACAUAACAUGCUCAGGGUAAUAAGGCACACUGUGGCUACAAGGAGAUACUGAGUUACAGAUAGACAGCAAAGCCCUAAGAUCUCUGAUUUCUGUCCUUGUAAUCCCCAGAGGUCAGAGUACCUGCAUGUUUAUUGUCACUUAAUAAAGUGACAAAAUGCAUCCUUGUUUUAUUUUUCAUCCUCCAUGAGAAUAUGCUUGACUUUCUAGUUUAGCUCUUCGUUGUUUCUUUUUAUUAUUUUUUAUUAAGUCCAGAUUCUGCGAGUGGGUGGCAGAGAGGUAUAGAAGUGGCCUGAAGAAAAGACCAAGAGGGCUUCAGGAGACAGAUAAGGAUGUUUGCAGAUCAGAAAAUCACCCAUGAGCUCUAUUUCAGGGCGAUUCUACCAACUCACUACUUUGGCUUUAAACCUUCUGACCUUUGCUUUAUGAGUGGAUCUUAGUACUCAGCUCUGCAGCAGACCACUUGUAGAGGCCAGUCUGCUGACUACCUCCAAUCCCUGGAAAUCCGGUAAAAACCUUACAGCAGACCCGAAUCCCCUCCUUUCUGUGGACCCUCUCAGCUGCCCUUUCCAGCCCAUUUCUAUCCCAUUGUGUCAGCUGCCAAUACCUAGAAAUCCUUUCCGCCUGCGAUCCACAGGAGCCACACAGAACCUGGACUCGGGUGCCUGGAAACACUGUGUAUUUGGGACCCCGGCUGUCCACAUUGGGCUGGAACUCAUAUCACUGUCUUGCUCUGCCGUCAUCAGAGGAGCCUCUUCCUACAUUAGAUGGGAACUAACAGAGAGACUGACAACUGGACAAUCUGCAGAGAAUCAAGGACCUUGGAACACUCAUCCCUUAAUGGAGUGUCUUCAUCAAACCCCUUUCCUUAGGAUUCAGGGAACUAUGAAGAAGGG